ensembl:misc_RNA Metazoa_SRP Metazoan signal recognition particle RNA
GCUGGGCAUGGUGACACAUGCCUGUAGUCCCAGCUACUCAGGAGGCCGAGGUGGGAGGAUCGCUUGAGCUCAGGAAUUUGAGGCCAGCCUGGGCAAUAUAGUGAGAACUCAUCUCUU